rnacentral:lncRNA from 1 species
UGGUUGAAGCCAGUGCCUUGCUCAUGUGCCUUGCUCCUGUGCUGUAUCACUGAGCUACACCCCCAGCCCAUGUGACUAUUUUAAAUUCAAACAUGAAAAAAAUUCAAACAUAAGACCCCAGGACAAGAAUAUUAAAGAAAAGUCCUUAAGAAGACAAAAGAUACAAAAGAUACAGAUGAAAUUAACUGACCAUACUUGAAUACUUUCCCCCCCAAAAAAACAGGAAGUGUUUACAUGCUAAUAUUUCACCUUGACGCCAAAGAUCUAAGAAUCAUGAGUAUUUAGAAUUACUCUGUGCCAGGCACAGUGUAAGGCCCAGUAAGUCACAGACCUCAUCAGACUGUAAAAAGUCUACAGGAAGAUAGAUGUAAACAUAAUCCUGUCUCCCUUCUCAUAGUGCUUAUUACAUAUUAUCAGGUACACUGGAAACAUCAUGAGGUAGGUAAUGGUAUCUUGAAAGACUUCAAAAAUAACAUGGCUAGUGAAGUGGCACAUGACUAUUAUCCCAGCAACUCAGGAGGCUGAGGCAGGAGGAUUGCAAGUUAAAAACCAGCCUGGGCAGUUUACCAAGAACUUGUCUCAAAAAAAAUGUUUUAAAAGGGAUGGGAAUUUAGCUCACCCCUGGGUUCAAUCCUUUGUACCACAAAAAAUGAAAGAAGAUGUAUGAACUCAAAUGUUGAGUCAGAGCUGGCCAGAUACUAGGAUGACCAUGUGGAGAGACCUAGAGGUGUGCUAAAGACUCCUUCUAGGGGAAGGGAAGCAACAAGCUGCUUUUUGGCUUCAGCGCCACCCUUAUGAAAGAUCUUUAGUAUGUAUAGUCACUGUGAUCCAUCACAAGACCAAAAAGGAAGAUUUAAACUCACUGGGCUGGAGUUGUGUUUCAGUGGUAGAGCAUUUGCCUGGCAUGUGUGAAGCUCUGGGUUCGAUCCCCAACACCACAUAUAAAUAAAU